AUUAGAGUUUGAUCCUGGCUCAGAACGAACGCUGGCGGCAGGCCUAACACAUGCAAGUCGAGCGCGCCCUUCGGGGUGAGCGGCGGACGGGUGAGUAACGCGUGGGAACGUGCCCUUUGCUACGGAAUAGUCUCGGGAAACUGGGGGUAAUACCGUAUGAGCCCUUCGGGGGAAAGAUUUAUCGGCAAAGGAUCGGCCCGCGUUGGAUUAGGUAGUUGGUGGGGUAAUGGCUCACCAAGCCGACGAUCCAUAGCUGGUUUGAGAGGAUGAUCAGCCACACUGGGACUGAGACACGGCCCAGACUCCUACGGGAGGCAGCAGUGGGGAAUCUUAGACAACGGGCGCAAGCCUGAUCUAGCCAUGCCGCGUGAGCGAUGAAGGCCUUAGGGUUGUAAAGCUCUUUCGUGGGGGAAGAUAAUGACUGUACCCCAAGAAGAAGCCCCGGCUAACUCCGUGCCAGCAGCCGCGGUAAUAAUC
rnacentral:rRNA from 1 species